rnacentral:rRNA from 1 species
CAAUUCCCGUUGAUCCUGCGGGAGAUUGCUGCUAUUCGGAUUCGACUUAGGCAUGCAAGUCAAAGGGCUCUUCGGAGCACUGGCAAAAGGCUCAGUAACACGUCGAUAAUCUGCCCUAUGGUCUGGGAUACCCUUGGGAAACUGAGGUUAAACCCGGAUAGAGGAUUGAUACUGUAAUGUGCUUUCCUUGAAAAGUAAUGCCAUAGGAUGAGUUGGCGGCUGAUUAGGUUGUUGGUAGGGUAAAGGCCUACCAAGCCAAAGAUCAGUACGGGGGAUGAGAGUCCUAGCCCGGAGAAGGACACUGAGACAAGGGUCCUAGCCCUAAGGGGUGCAGCAGCUACGAAACCUUUACAAUGCACGAAAGUGUGAUAAGGGAAUCCGAAGUGCUUACCUUCUGGGUAGGCUUUUCUUAAGUGUAAGUAGCUUAAGGAAUAAGUGGUGGGAAAUACCGGUGCCAGCAGCCGCGGUAAUACCGGAGCCACAAGUGGCAAUCGUGAUUAUUGGGCCUAAAGCGUUCGUAGCUGGUUUAGUAAAUCUUUUGUGAAAUUGUUAGACCUAAUCUAGCAAAUGGCAAGAGAGACUGCUAAACUUGAGACCGGGAAGAGACAGAAGUAUUCCUUGGGAAGCGGUAAAAUGUUUUAAUCCUUGGAAGACUACCAAUGGCGAAGGCAUCUGUCUAGAACGGCUCUGACAGUGAGGGACGAAGGCUAGGAGAACGAUCGGGAUUAGAUACCCCAGUAGCCCUAGCUGUAAACGCUGUGAACUAUGUGUUGCAUGUUCUUCGGGAAUGUGCAGUGCCGAAGCGAAGGUGUUAAGUUCACCGCCUGGGGAAUACGGUCGCAAGACUGAAACUUUAAGGAAUUGGCGGGGGCGCACUACAACGAGUGCGGCGUGCGGUUUAAUUUAAUUCCACACAGAGAAUCUUACCAGCAGCGACGGCAGGAUGAAGGUCAGAUUGAAGGUUUUACCUAACGAGCCGAGAGGUGGUGCAUGGCCGACGUCAGCUCGUGCCGUAAGGUGUCACGUUAAGUCGUGCAACGAGCAAGACCUAUGUCCAUAGUUGCCAUCAAGUCUCUUGAUGUUUGGGCACACUAUGGAGACUGCCUUGGUAACAAGGAGGAAGGUGUAGGCAACGUUAGGUCUGUAUGCCCCGAAUCUGCUGGGAUACACGCGCGCAACAAUGGUAGAGACAGAGGGAUACAACUCCGAAAGGAGAAGUUAAGCUCUAAACUCUAUCUUAGUUCAGAUUGAGGGCUGUAACUCGCCCUCAUGACGCUGGAAUUCGUAGUAAUCGUCCGUCAAAAGCGAACGGUGAAUAAGUCCCUGUGCCUUGCACACACUGCCCGUCAAACCAACCGAGCAGGGUUUAGGUGAGGUUCACUCUUUAGAUUGGUCCGAACCUAGAUUCAGUGAGGUGGGUUAAGUCGUCACAAGGUAGCCGUAGGGGAACCUGCGGCUGGAUCACCUCCUUUAU